rnacentral:rRNA from 1 species
GACAGAGGGUGCAAACGUUGUUCGGAAUUACUGGGCGUAAAGCGCGUGUAGGCUGCUUAGCAAGUCGGAUGUGAAAGCCCUGGGCUCAACCCAGGAAGUGCAUUCGAAACUGCAGAGCUGGAGUCCUGGAGAGGAAGGCGGAAUUCUCGGUGUAGAGGUGAAAUUCGUAGAUAUCGAGAGGAACACCGGUGGCGAAGGCGGCCUUCUGGACAGUGACUGACGCUGAGACGCGAAAGCGUGGGGAGCAAACGGG